UAUUUAGUAGUGUGAACUUUYUUUUUAAUUUGCAGAUUGAGUAUAAGAUGCAGAUGGUCACUCAAAGAUGACUUUAAAAGAAAGAGCUCAUUUUCUAUGUAUAUGUUUGUCCUGGACCAGAAAUGUUGGUUACCAAAGAAGAAGAGGCAAACUGUGGGUACAAGUCGAGAAAUGAAAGACUCUUCAGGAUGAAAUGGAGAUAUGUCAUGUGGAGAGGAGCUCUGGCUGCAUUUCUGCUUUAUUGGAUCUGUUCGUUUCAAGUCAAGCUGUACAAAAGUGGAAACCAACUUGAAAGGAAAAGUGAUGAUAAAUGCUCUCUGAUACUUAGCAGACACCUUAUCUGA
rnacentral:lncRNA from 1 species